rnacentral:tRNA from 1 species
GGAAGGGUGGCCGAGUGGCUGAAGGCGCCUGCUUGGAAAGCAUGUAUACGGUUAAACGUAUCGAGGGUUCGAAUCCCUUCCCUUCCU